rnacentral:rRNA from 1 species
AGGACGAACGCUGGCGGCGUGCUUAACACAUGCAAGUCGAGCGGUAAGGCCUUUCGGGGUACACGAGCGGCGAACGGGUGAGUAACACGUGGGUGAUCUGCCCUGCACUUCGGGAUAAGCCUGGGAAACUGGGUCUAAUACCGGAUAUGACCUCAGGUUGCAUGACUUGGGGUGGAAAGAUUUAUCGGUGCAGGAUGGGCCCGCGGCCUAUCAGCUUGUUGGUGGGUAAUGGCCUACCAAGGCGACGACGGGUAGCCG